UACGGAGGGUGCAAGCGUUAUCCGGAUUCACUGGGUUUAAAGGGUGCGUAGGUGGGUUGGUAAGUCAGUGGUGAAAUCUCCGUGCUUAACAUGGAAACUGCCAUUGAUACUACUGAUCUUGAAUUUUCAGGAGGUAAGCGGAAUAUGUCAUGUAGCGGUGAAAUGCUUAGAUAUGACAUAGAACACCAAUUGCGAAGGCAGCUUACUACAGGAACAUUGACACUGAUGCACGAAAGCGUGGGGAUCAAACAGG
rnacentral:rRNA from 1 species